CUUACCCUUGGUCCCAAGCCCAGUAUCAUUCACUCCACCAUUUUUUGCAGGGUUUUUUGUUUUUCUUUUUUCAUCUCUGGCACACAACACACAGGAUGACCAGGAGAUUUGAUACUUCUGCUGGUUGCACAUCAGAUUGGGUGCAAACACGGGCACAGCUUCUACUGGAGACCAGCAGUCUACCAGCCAUAGCCUCCCCUCCUGGAAUUUCCUGGAUUUUUGCCUGACUACCCCCACGAGGGUUCUAAUUCAAGAAAGAAAAAGUGCCAUUUAAGGUGAAGAAAGGUUUCAAACCAACCAAUGGAGAAAUUUAUUGUUAAAUUCACAAGAGAGGCAGCUAACCUACUACUCAACAAUAAAUGCUCUACUGGCUGCUGAUGCAGGUCCUGUGCAAGGUGCAUCCCAGAUUGGCCAAGUGUCCUCAGUGAUUUGCUCCUGUCUCAAUUGGGGGUUUCAGAGUCAUAAAGACCAUAAGAAGGAAAAACCCACUGUUCCAAGACCACUUUGAAGAGAAUUAUGAUGUCAGUGUUCAUUAUGGUUUUUGAUAAAUAAAAUACCUUCUAUGGUGUGACUUAUUUGUGAA